rnacentral:rRNA from 1 species
UACGUAGGCAGCAAGCGUUGUUCGGAGUUACUGGGCGUAAAGGGUGUGUAGGCGGUUUUCUAAGUCUGGUGUGAAAUCUCCCGGCUCAACUGGGAGGGUGCGCCGAAAACUGGAAGGCUAGAGUGCGGGAUGGGAGAGUGGAAUUCCUGGUGUAGCGGUGAGAUGCGUAGAUAUCAGGAGGAACACCUGUGGUGUAGACGGCUCUCUGGACCGCAACUGACGCUGAGACACGAAAGCGUGGGUAGCAAAUAGG